AGAGUUUGAUCCUGGCUCAGGAUGAACGCUAGCGGCAGGCCUAAUACAUGCAAGUCGAACGGUAACAUUGAAGCUUGCUUCAGAUGACGAGUGGCAAACGGGUGCGUAACACGUAUAUAACUUUCCUCAAACAAAGGGAUAGCCCAUGGAAACGUGGAUUAAUACCUUAUAAUAAUUUGAAUCGCAUGAUUUAAAUUUGAAAACUCCGGUGGUUAGAGAUGGAUAUGCGACCUAUUAGCUAGUUGGUGUGGUAAUGGCACACCAAGGCAACGAUAGGUAGGGGGCGUGAGAGCGUGAUCCCCCACACGGGCACUGAGACACGGGCCCGACUCCUACGGGAGGCAGCAGUAAGGAAUAUUGGCCAAUGGAGGCAACUCCGAACCAGCCAUGCCGCGUGCAGGAUGACUGCCCUUUGGGUUGUAAACUGCUUUUAAUGCAAAGAAA
rnacentral:rRNA from 1 species